rnacentral:rRNA from 1 species
AGUGGGGGAUAACGCCGCGAAAGCGGCGCUAAUACCGCAUAUUCUGUGCGCAGGAAAGUGGGGGACUCGCAAGGGCCUCACGCUUUCGGAGCGGCCGAUGUCCGAUUAGCUAGUUGGUGGGGUAACGGCUUACCAAGGCGACGAUCGGUCGCUGGUCUGAGAGGAUGAUCAGCCACACUGGGACUGAGACACGGCCCAGACUCCUACGGGAGGCAGCAGUGGGGAAUUUUGGACAAUGGGGGCAACCCUGAUCCAGCCAUGCCGCGUGCGGGAAGAAGGCCUUCGGGUUGUAAACCGCUUUUAGCCGGGAAGAAAAGGCACUCUCUAAUACGGGGUGUUCUUGACGGUACCGGCGGAAUAAGCACCGGCUAACUACGUGCCAGCAGCCGCGGUAAUACGUAGGGUGCGAGCGUUAAUCGGAAUUACUGGGCGUAAAGCGUGCGCAGGCGGUUCGUUAAGUUCGUUGUGAAAGCCCCGGGCUCAACCUGGGAAUGGCAAUGGAAACUGGCGGGCUUGAAUGCGGCAGAGGGGGGUGGAAUUCCG